rnacentral:misc_RNA from 1 species
AAGAUAGCAGCUUGGCAACUCAGCUGCAGCCUUUUCAGAGUUGUUCAAAAGCACUAGGGUUUCAGAAAAAUUCGAUCUUCAGAGUACUGAAUCAUCACAAAGGAAGAUUCUACGAUAAGGGUUGUUCAGAUCGGUGUUUGUAAAACAUCUGCCUCAAUAUGUUGCAAAGCUCUGGGUUUGCUUAUGGUGAGUCACAUGUGAGGAUGGAUGCUCCUUUUGGUUUGGGCUGAUGCUUGUGAGAAGUGCUUUCCAUCAGGCUCCAAGUGACCCGGGCUAAUUAUGCCAAAGAUUUGGGUGGAAAAGUGAAGUUCUGUUUUAGUUGCAUGGAUGAGAGGACUUGAUAUCUACUGAAGAUGCUUCAUAUAAUAACAUGAUGUGAAAAUUUUUGUCAGGUUCUAUUUUCUUAUAGAAACUAAACAUGCCUAAGGAGAGAAGAGAUAGGUCUGUUUCUUUUGAUAGGAGCAGAGCUUCUCCUUACUGUUGUAGCUCGAGUCACUCAAGGUCAUCAUUGUCCAAAAACCCUUUGGAAAAUGAGGAAAAUGUGAAGGACUGGGAAGAUGCUCGAUGCCCAGUGUGUAUGGAACAUCCUCAUAAUGCUAUUCUCCUUCUGUGUGCCUCUCAUGAGAAGGGCUGUCGUCCUUUUAUGUGUGACACAAGUUAUAGGCAUUCAAAUUGUUUUGAUCAGUUCAAAAAGUCAUUUGAAGAAGCUUCAGCAUCAACAACUCAGCAAGUGGAGAUUCCAGCUUCAGCUUCUAUUACGGAAUCUACUGUAACGUUAUCAGAAGCUCUGUCUGAACUUCCAGGUGAAAGGACCGAAGGUGGUUCUAUAUCCCUAGAUGCCUUGUCUUGCGAGAACCAUGAAAUAAAGAAGAUGCUAU